rnacentral:rRNA from 1 species
UUACCGGUUUGACAUAUGGGAAACUCUCCUGAGAACAGGUGCUGCAUGGCUGUCGUCAGCUCGUGUCGUGAGAUGUUGGGUUAAGUCCUUAAACGAGCGAAACCCUACCUUAGUUACCAUCAUAUGGGACUCUAGGGGACUGCCGGUGUUAACCGGAGGAAGGCGGGGAUGACGUCAAGUCCUCAUGGCCUUUAUGCCGGGCUUCACACGUGCUACAAUGGAUGACAAGCGGCACCGCGAGGGGAGCAAUCGCAAAAAUGCCUCAGUUCGGAUUGCAGGCUACAACUCGCCUGCAUGAAGUUGGAAUCGCUAGUAAUCGCGAUCAGCAUGCGCGGUGAAUAUGUUCCUGAGCCUUGUACACACCGCCCGUCAAGUCACGGAAAUCGGAGACCGAA